UACAGAGGGGGCAAGCGUUGUUCGGAAUUACUGGGCGUAAAGGGCGCGUAGGCGGCCUGUUAAGUCGAACGUGAAAUCCCUAGGCUCAACCUAGGAACUGCGUCCGAUACUGGCAGGCUUGAAUCCGGGAGAGGGAUGCGGAAUUCCAGGUGUAGCGGUGAAAUGCGUAGAUAUCUGGAGGAACACCGGUGGCGAAGGCGGCAUCCUGGACCGGUAUUGACGCUGAGACGCGAAAGCGUGGGGAGCAAACAGG
rnacentral:rRNA from 1 species